GUGCUCGCUUGUGCAGCACAUGCUAUUAAAACUGGAACAAUACAGAGAUUAGCAUGGCCGCUGCACAGGGAAGACACACAAAUUCGUGAAACGUUCCAUAUUUUU